AGAAUCUUCGGCAAUGGGCGCAAGCCUGACCGAGCGACGCCGCGUGGAGGACGAAGGCCUUCGGGUUGUAAACUCCUGUCGAGGGGGAAGAAGGUCCGCAAGGGCUUGACUGAUCCCUGGAGGAAGCACGGGCUAAGUUCGUGCCAGCAGCCGCGGUAAGACGAACCGUGCGAACGUUAUUCGGAAUCACUGGGCUUAAAGCGCGUGUAGGUGGGGCGGCACGUCGGCCGCUGAAAUCCCCCGGCUUAACCGGGGAACGGGCGCCGAUACGACCGCCCUUGAGGGGCGUAGGGGGGGCUGGAACUUCCGGUGGAGCGGUGAAAUGCGUUGAGAUCGGAAGGAACGCCCGUGGCGAAAGCGAGCCCCUGGACGUCAUCUGACACUGAGACGCGAAAGCCAGGGGAGCGAACGGGAUUAGAUACCCCAG
rnacentral:rRNA from 1 species